UACGUAGGGUGCGAGCGUUUAAUCGGAAUUACUGGGCGUAAAGCGUGCGCAGGCGGUUCGUUGUGUCGGCGGUGAAAGCCCCGGGCUUAACCUGGGAAUGGCCGUCGAAACUGGCGAACUGGAGUGUGGCAGAGGGGGGUGGAAUUCCGCGUGUAGCAGUGAAAUGCGUAGAGAUGCGGAGGAACACCGAUGGCGAAGGCAGCCCCCCUGGGCUGACACUGACGCUCAGGCACGAAAGCGUGGGGAGCAAACAGG
rnacentral:rRNA from 1 species